GACGAACGCUGGCGGCGUGCCUAAUACAUGCAAGUCGAGCGGACCAAAGGGAGCUUGCUCCUGGAGGUUAGCGGCGAACGGGUGAGUAACACGUGGGCAACCUGCCUGUAAGACUGGGAUAACAUCGAGAAAUCGGUGCUAAUACCGGAUAAUAAAAAGAACUGCAUGGUUCUUUUUUGAAAGAUGGUUUCGGCUAUCACUUACAGAUGGGCCCGCGGCGCAUUAGCUAGUUGGUGAGGUAACGGCUCACCAAGGCGACGAUGCGUAGCCGACCUGAGAGGGUGAUCGGCCACACUGGGACUGAGACACGGCCCAGACUCCUACGGGAGGCAGCAGUAGGGAAUCUUCCGCAAUGGACGAAAGUCUGACGGAGCAACGCCGCGUGAGUGAUGAAGGUUUUCGGAUCGUAAAACUCUGUUGUUAGGAAGAACAAGUGCCGUUCGAAAGGGCGCACCUUGACGGUACCUAACGAGAAAGCCACGGCUAACUACGUGCCAGCAGCCGCGGUAA
rnacentral:rRNA from 1 species